rnacentral:rRNA from 1 species
UACGUAGGUGACCAGCGUUGUCCGGAUUCAUUGGGCGUAAAGGGUGCGUAGGCGGCGCGGUAAGUCGGGUGUGAAAUCUUGGAGCUUAACUCCGAAACUGCAUUCGAUACUGCCGUGCUUGAGGACUGGAGAGGAGACUGGAAUUUACGGUGUAGCGGUGAAAUGCGUAGAUAUCGUAAGGAAGACCAGUGGCGAAGGCGGGUCUCUGGACAGUUCCUGACGCUGAGGCACGAAGGCCAGGGGAGCAAACGGG